rnacentral:rRNA from 1 species
UACGGGGGGAGCAAGCGUUGUUCGGAUUUACUGGGCGUAAAGGGCGCGUAGGCGGCGUGACAAGUCACUUGUGAAAUCUCCGGGCUUAACUCGGAACGGUCAAGUGAUACUGUCGUGCUAGAGUACAGAAGGGGCAACUGGAAUUCUCGGUGUAGCGGUGAAAAUGCGUAGAUAUCGAGAGGAACACCUGCGGCGAAGGCGGGUUGCUGGGCUGAUACUGACGUGAGGCGCGAAAGCGUGGGGGAGCAAACAGG